AGCGCCUUCUCCGCUACUCUGUGCUGCCUCUCUGUUCGGGUGACUAAAUAAAUUACCAGAAUCCAAAGGAAGAAAAGGCACUGGCAGCCUUAUUGCUUGAGGAAGGAUUAACUAACAAGGCAGAUAAGAGCCAUGGCCUUACCUGCAGCGUGGUUUCGCAGAUGGCGGUGUAUUUAACCUCCUCUCUGAGCAGGCAGCUCAGCUCACCGAGGAGCUGCCCGCUCGACCAGUACUCGGUGAACAGGGUUUCCUCCUCCAGCUCAGGUCUCUCGAUACAGUCUAUGCCAAAGACUGACCUUGAACUUACUACGAAGGCUAGGCUGGCCACAGACCCUGGCCAUCCUCCUCCUGCCUCGGCCUCUCAAGUUCUGGGAUUGCAGG